rfam:Triticum aestivum genome assembly, contig: Triticum_aestivum_CS42_TGACv1_scaffold_295076_4AL
CAACUACUCCCUCUGUCCCAAAUUUCUUGUCUUAGAUUUGUCUAGAUAUGGAUGUAUCUAAUACUAAAAUGUGACUUGAUACAUCCGUAUCUAGACAAAUCUAAGACAAGAAUUUUGGGACGGAGGGAGUACUUU